UACCACAAGGAAAAGAAAACCAACAGUCAGAAAUGCUGGGACUUACCUACUACCAACAAAAUUUCCUUAAACCAUCAUAUCAUCAAGUUGUCAUCAUUUAAUCAUGACAUCAUGUUGAAAAUGCCAUCUAAAAGUCAAGAGAUGAAAAAGCUGGAUGGAAGGAAGGUCGGAUAGAUAAACUGGUAGGACACUGAAGCAGAAGCUAGAAGAUGCCAUCAGAGACCCAGUAGCCAGAUGUAGCUGCUGAUUACGAAAGACAGGAUCUACACUGGCUACUGAGCCAUUGAGGGUACCUACACCUUCCAGCAGCUGGGUGAUCCUUUGCCUUCUGGGGAGGGGCUCUGUGGAAGAAAAAAGAAGAUAUCAGAUUUCAAUUGCACAUUUUCUUUGGAUCAUGAAUUGACAUUUUGACAAUAUUCCCAUGUACGUAAUUUUAAACAACCUCUGGAUUUAUUUACUUAUCCAACAGAUACUGACUGAGUGACAUUAAAUAAAGUGCCACAUAUUUUCUUAGGUGCUGGAGAUCCAGCAGCAAACAAAAAAAGUGGAAAAUCUCUAUACUUCUACAGCAUACAUGAUUCCUUGUGACAAAAUCUACAAUCAAUUAUUUGGUAUGUUUUGCAGUAAAAUGGAAAUAUACACAAGAGAAAAACAAACAAGCAAACAAAAAACCAAUCUACCAUUUUAUUGUGGCUUGGAGCAUUUUUGUUGCUUCCUGUCACUUUAACUUGGGUAAUCUAGCAAUGAUGCACAUAUGUAAAGUAAAUUGCAGUUAAAAAAUUCUUUCGUGUUACGAACUGAGGAUAAUACAGUUAUUUUACCAAAUAUCUCAAACACCAAAGAAAAUUACAGAAAAUGCAUAUUAUAAUAAAUAUUCAAAGCAGGUGCUCACUAGCAUGUCAGUUCCAAGCUUUCCUCCCAUGAUACAAUGAAGGUAACAAAAUAAGUCACAGGAUUGGUGUUCUCUUUGCUAUUCAUUUAUCCACCCCAGAAAUACUUACUGAGUACCUUCAAUAAGUACCUUUCAGUACCUUACUGAAAUACUUCUGCGUGCUUUAUUCCAGGCACUGGGAAUGCAACACUGAACAAAAUCCUUGCACUCACGGAAGUUUAAGUCUAAGAUUUAAGGAAAGGGUAGAAAAAGACUGAAAAAAACCUCCAUAGAUAUGGACGGUCAUUUCAUAGAGUAAUGAAACAGUUAAGAGGAAUGCUAUUUUCGAUAAGGUGGCUAGGAAAAGCCUCACUGAGGGCCUGGCAUUUGAGUGGAUUCCUGAAGUAGGAGGAGAAGAAUCAUGUACAUACCUGGGGUGGGAAAGGACACCACAGGGAGAGGCAAGAGUCAGAACAAAAAGCACUGAAACAGGAAAAAGCCUGGUAUCUUGGACAAGGUGUUCUUUUAUUAGCACAUGACCACAUGGCCAAUUAUUGUUUCCUACUUUUAGGAUUAUUCUAGAAGGUAAAUGACUAUGCAACUUUUCUCCAAGUACACGUCUUAGAAUCCUUUGCUGUGAAUUUAAAAUGCUUCAGCUAUCACUUAGAAAAGAUUUAAUAAAGCUACUGUCAAUUGGAAACUAGUACCAUUUGAUCGGACAUGCAGCUAUACCACAGUAUGACACACACAUAUUUAUCACCAAGAGAAAAGUGGCUUUUUAAAAAUGUGUUAGCUAUAAGAAAAGAUAACCAGCUUUCUGGGAGCUCUAAAUAUAUACAUAUCUAGGGAAUGAUUUAACUAUUUAAUCACAGAUGUCUAAUUUUAAGAGGCAACUCACUUGCCAAAUUAUAGUAAUAGUGCUUCACCAGUGUGGUUAGCUCUUGGUGGGGGAGGAUAAGGGUGGAAUUUACAAGGUGAAGCAGGGGUUUUUUUGAUUGCUUGCUUUUUUUUCUCUUUAAAUAAGUUAAGGCCAAUCCCAUCUAUGAAGUAUAUUUUGGCACUGCCUACAAACCAGAGCAUACAUACUGAAGUGGGGGAAAAGACCGUUUAUAUAGGUUUGGCUAAGUCUUACCCUCAAUGUAAAAUAAAGCAUUUGUAGAACACACAAACUUACAUUUCAUAAACCACUAAAACUAACUGUUCAUAACUCUACUUUUAUGAAUAAGACUAACAAUUAAAGUGAGGCAAGGGUUUAGUGUGGUCACUUUCAAUGCCAAAAUACAAAAGAUUAUCUUUUAUAAAUCUUUACAUUUAGAUGAGAAAAGGUAAAUUUUUAAUUCUCAAAGGUAUCUAUUCUCCACAUCUUAGUACUAAAGUUAAGGUGGUCUUUUGCCCCUUGUUUUAAAUUUAAUCUAGGUAAUACAAAUAGGAAAAUCUGUAAAUAAAAUUUUAUUAAAGGUUAUUCUGUAAAUUAGUGUCAACCACUAAACAAUACUAUACAGUUUUAAGUUUAUUAAAAACACAAAGAAUAGAAUAUGUAGAAUAUAUAACACCAUAGAAUAUUAACCAAUAAUGCAUUUUCAGUUUAAAAAUAAAAGGAAAAGAAAAGAAAUAGGUUCAAACUAGAAAUGUUGAGUUAUAUAAUUCUGUUAUCUAACAAUUAAGAUGACAACUAAGCCCCAAGGGUGAGUGAUAGGACUGUAACCAAGGUACUUCUGCUCAAGUCCUAGUCACACUGCAAACAAACAAAACAAAAAUAAUAAUAAACAAAAACUCCCAUACAUUCUGGCUAAAGACCAUUUAUUUGAGGUAUGAGAAAGAGUUUAAAGGGAGGGAAAGACUAUUAAAAGUUAAGCCUGCCACCUGCUGUUGGAAGGCCUGCUUUGAACUGGGAUAAAGACCAUUUCUUGAAAUGUUAACCUAGAAUUUGAAGAGCUUACACUCCACACGGUUAGAACAGGGGCAACCUAUACACCAAACCAAGAAGUAAAGAAACCCAUUGAUGUUUAAAGCUACACUGAGAGAGAUAAAAGUCACAUUCGCAUCAAAGUUCUACUGGAAAUGAAAGAAAUGCUGCUUCGUGCGUCAUUCUACUGAAGGAAGAGUAGAAUUACUCUGUCUUUUAAACUGAUUACCUGGACAAUUCUAUUUUGCCCCCAAAAAGCAUCUCUGACUUUAGAAAUUAUCAUUUUUAGAAAGAAAUUUUGACCCUAGGGACUAUAUGUGGAAGUAAAUGAAGAGAGAUGAACGAUUUCACAGCAUUGCCAGAAUGCUAACUUUACCAAGUCAAAAUUGUCUAAUUCACUGUUUUUAACACAAAUGUGAAAGAAUCUAUGCUUCUUUGAGUAAAAGAACUUCCAGAUGCUUUCCAGUUCCAUGAUUUUCUAUAACCUCACAAAGUCUGGCCCCACAUGUCCCCCUAAACCCCAUCCAUGAUAUUUCACAUAUUUUUGUUCAUGCACCAGUAGUUUUCUGUAACUAAAUAGGAAUAGAGUCAAAUUCUAUCACAAUCAUGUUUAGGGAUUUGACAGAGCAUAAGCCAGUCCACUAUUCUAAUGAAGUCAGAGUUUACUUUAGAAGUGAACAAAAACUGCCACCCACAGUGUAUAUCUCAUGUUAAGUGAUUCUUAACAUAUACACAAACACAGACACAAAACCAAAGGGAUACAAUGAAACUUUGAGAGAUGUUGAAUACAUCCAUUACCUUGAUUAUGGUGAUGGUAUCACAGGUGUUUGCAUAUAUCCAAACUCAUGAAAUUUUCCACAUGAAAUAUGUGCAGUUCUUUAUCAAUUAUACUUCAAUAAAGCUGUUUUUUUUUUUAAAAAAAGCUGCCUCCCACACCGUUAAGAACAAAAAGUCCAAUUAACUCUAACUGUAGGCCAGGGAAGAAAUGCACCCAUGUAUACACAGUG
rnacentral:lncRNA from 1 species